GAUGAACGCUGGCGGCGUGCCUAAUACAUGCAAGUCGAGCGAACAGACGAGGAGCUUGCUCCUCUGACGUUAGCGGCGGACGGGUGAGUAACACGUGGAUAACCUACCUAUAAGACUGGGAUAACUUCGGGAAACCGGAUCUAAUACCGGAUAAUAUAUUGAACCGCAUGGUUCAAUAGUGAAAGACGGUUUUGCUGUCACUUAUAGAUGGAUCCGCGCCGCAUUAGCUAGUUGGUAAGGUAACGGCUUACCAAGGCAACGAUGCGUAGCCGACCUGAGGGGGGAUCGGCCACACUGGAACUGAGACACGGUCCAGACUCCUACGGGAGGCAGCAGUAGGGAAUCUUCCGCAAUGGGCGAAAGCCUGACGGAGCAACGCCGCGUGAGUGAUGAAGGUCUUCGGAUCGUAAAACUCUGUUAUUAGGGAAGAACAAAUGUGUAAGUAACUAUGUACGUCUUGACGGUACCUAAUCAGAAAGCCACGGCUAACUACGUG
rnacentral:rRNA from 1 species